AUUGCUAAUGGCAGAAAAAGAAAAAACACCAUCCACUCUUUGGAGGAUGGGGAGAACAUCAUAGAGGGGACCAAAAACCUGCUUGAUCACGCAACAACUUUUUACAAAUCCCUCUUUGGCCCAGCGAGGGGGAACUUGUUCCAUUUAUUGCCUGAUACAUGGUCCAACAGUGAGAAACUCACAGAAGAGGACAAUAAUAUCCUAACCGAAAAGUUUACUGAGGAAGAAGUGAAGGCAGCCUUGUUUAGUAUGGAGAGUAAUAGGGCCCCAGGUCCAGACAAUAUCCCAGCUGAAUUCUAUAAACACUGCUGGGACUUUGUUAGGAAGGAUAUUAUGCAGCUCUUUGAGGCAUUCUAUGAAAACAGGCUAGAUGUGGCACGACUUAAUUAUGGUAUUAUCAAUGUUCAAGAAAGCGGAAAGCGUAAGCGAAGCGGAAGGCCACAGCUUAGAGCAAUGAGCGCUUAA
rnacentral:rRNA from 1 species